AGGCAGCAGUGGGGAAUAUUGCACAAUGGGGGGAAACCCUGAUGCAGCGACGCCGCGUGAAGGAAGAAGUAUCUCGGUAUGUAAACUUCUAUCAGCAGGGAAGAUAGUGACGGUACCUGACUAAGAAGCCCCGGCUAACUACGUGCC
rnacentral:rRNA from 1 species